rnacentral:rRNA from 1 species
AACGAACGCUGGCGGCAUGCCUAACACAUGCAAGUCGAACGAGACCUUCGGGUCUAGUGGCGCACGGGUGCGUAACGCGUGGGAACCUGCCCUUAGGUUCGGAAUAACUCCCCGACAGGGGUGCUAAUACCGGAUAAUGUCUUCGGACCAAAGAUUUAUCGCCUUUGGAUGGGCCCGCGUUGGAUUAGCUAGUUGGUAGGGUAAAAGCCUACCAAGGCGACGAUCCAUAGCUGGUCUGAGAGGAUGAUCAGCCACACUGGGACUGAGACACGGCCCAGACUCCUACGGGAGGCAGCAGUGGGGAAUAUUGGACAAUGGGCGAAAGCCUGAUCCAGCAAGGCCGCGUGAGUGAUGAAGGCCUUAGGGUUGUAAAGCUCUUUUACCCGGGAUGAUAAUGACAGUACCGGGAGAAUAAGCUCCGGCUAACUCCGUG